AACACUGUGACACUGCAUAGAAGACCAAUGUGUUACAUUAAAAUAAGCAGUUUCCCGGCUACAGCUGGCCAUGCAUAGCACAGUAUUUGCUUGACAGAAGAAAAAAAAUGCUGCAGUGUUGUCAGGAUCUCUAACUACAAUCCUCUGGCAAUGAAAGAGACCCCAGAAAUUACGUAUAGCAUGCUGCAGUGAAAACAUUAAAAGCCUCACUUUCCUACCUGCUGCACCCCAGUCGUUUUCUCUUCUUGACACAAGAUGGAGAAGAGGGGACAACCAGUAGUCAGAAAGGGUCACUGUUCUCUGGGUCUGCCUCCCUUGUCUGGUGAUGGUGCACAGUUUACAGAAGAAGGCCCUUGGAGGAGCUGCCUGCUUUUUGCAGUGACCAAACGUUUAUGCUCUUUGAGGAGGAGGCUGGUUCAAGGAACCUGCAGUUACUACA